GGUGCUUGAGCCCGCCGCCCGGCUUCGGGCGGCCGCCGAUGAGCGCCGUGGUGGCGGAGCUCGAUCGGAUCCUGGAGAAAGAGAGGAGCUUGACAACAGUCAUGGGCGAAGCCACCCCGAGCGUGACCCUCGGAAGCGAGCUGUUCACAUCCUAGAGAGAGAAGACCCACCAGUCGCUUGCAGUCCAUGGAAGAACUCAGAUGGCGGCGGCCAGCUGACAGGCAAGUGUAUAAAAGAAACAGCUGGCACCAGGUGUCAACCCUUUUUGCCAAAUUAAGUACUAUAUUUCAUGCAUCAUUUUUCCUUCUGUGAAGAAAGUCAAUGGAAAUAAUCAAGAACUGUGAACAUAAACUGAGAUCACGUGAGGGGUUCAGACCUGAUAGGUGAGCUUCCACUCACUGUUCAGAGGCAUGGUCAACGCCAAAGAAGGGGCGGGGGGUCAAAUACUGUUACACCAAGUCUUGCCGCAUCUUCUCGAACUAAAGGGUACAAGAGAGAUUUCCCAUCUCUAAUUACAUCCUUUUCAAUGGUUGGGGCCCUGGGGCCUGCUACAGGUCAAGAUCGUCUCCUAUUUACAGUUUUAGGACAGAUCAGAUAGAUGAGCUGGUGCGCCUCAAUUUAGAGAGAGGGCCUGAAAGAUAUGCGGCCCAGAGAGAGAUAGAUAGCGAGAGAGAGAGAGAGAGAGAGAGAGAGAGAGAGAGAGAGAGAGAGAGAGAGAGAGAGAGAGAGAGAGAGAGAGAGAGAGAGAGAGAGAGAGAGAGAGAGAGAGAGAGNNN
rnacentral:lncRNA from 1 species